rnacentral:rRNA from 1 species
UACGAAGGGGGCUAGCGUUGUUCGGAAUUAUUGGGCGUAAAGCGCGCGCAGGCGGCAGGGAAAGUCUUGUGUCAAAGACCGGAGCUCAACUCCGGGCUGCAUGGGAAACUGCCUUGCUGGAGUGUAGGAGAGGAAAGUGGAAUUCCACGUGUAGCGGUGAAAUGCGUAGAGAUGUGGAGGAACACCAGUGGCGAAGGCGACUUUCUGGCCUAUAACUGACGCUGAGGCGCGAAAGCGUGGGGAGCAAACAGG